GAUUUCAACUGAAAAAGUCAUCAAUAACAAAGUUGUAUAAGAUCUAUAACUUUUAUUUUGGUCAUUUCUUCAUUCGACAAAGUGAUUUGUAAGAUUGUUCACAAAAUGUGCAUAUCUCUUAUAUAGUUUAUNAAACUAUAAGAGAGAUGUANAUUUUNUNAACAAUCUUAUAAAAAACUUUAUCGGAUGAAGAAAUGACUAAAAUAGAAGUUAUAUAUCUUGAUGAGUUAUACAACUUUGUUGUUGAUGACUUUUUCAGCUGAAAUC
rnacentral:pre_miRNA from 1 species